ACUUAAAUGUUGAAGGAAUGAGUACAUAUUAUUUUUAUAAUAGAAAGCUUAUGGUAGAUGGAAAUAAGUAUAAAAUAGUAUGGAAGAUGACUCUGGAGUUUAAGCGGAGACUCAACCGUUAAAAGAGAAAGUUGCAUGAAAUAAAAUCAUGAAUUAAGGUGGUACCGCGGGAUUUAUCUCGUCCUUAGU
rnacentral:ncRNA from 1 species